ACGAGGUUUUGGCUAUGGAUAUGGAUAUGGUUCACCUUACUUCUACCCGAGGCCAUAUUACGGUGGUUACUAUGGAGGAUUCGGUCCUGGCAUAAUUAUUGGAUUAUAAUGGACUUCACAGGUACGACGCAAUGCAGUGCAAUUAUCAACUUACUUAAUAGGUUUAGUUCCUAACGACACUUAAUGAUGAACCUGAGAUUAUCCACCGAUUUGAAGCAUGGAGCAUCACAAUUAUAAACCAUUGUUAAUGAAAGUAGUGACCAAUUUUGAAGUCAUCGAUCGAAUUGAACACCUCUAACUACGAACACCUAGAUGUAUACUAAAUGAGAACUGGCACUCAAAUCUUGAAGAUUUGCAACUGAAACGCCAACUUACAAGGACAGCUAGAAUAAGAUUACUCUGUCUCAUCUGUAUAUAGAUAUUACAGUGUCAACAAAUAACAACAUUUUCGUGCAACUAAAAUUCACAACCAAAUACACGCUCAAACCAAUUAGUACCAAUUCUGACAAAACUUCAUGCGUUAGAUAAUCCAUAGAUCGGGUAAACGUUGCUAAUGCGAAGUGUUAAAUUCCAACUGAUAAAGUAAACCGUUUAUAGAUGAAGAAAAAAAAAGGAAACCGUUUGUCAUCGGUUGAAGAACAGCAAGCAAGGAAGCAUUAUUAAAAUAAAGAAAAAUGAAAUUGUUAUUUGUACCAGUGUUAAUAACGCUACUGUUGGUUGACUGUUCAGCGGCUCCUGCACCACUUUUCGGAUGGCGUUGGCGAUUCGGCGGAUUUUUACCUCCACCGGUGUACUACAGCAGCGGAUUCUACAAUACCUACUACAACCCAGCCGUCAUAGUGGAAACUCCUUUCAUAGCACCACCGGGCGUUAUCGUUGGUUAAUGUGGAUAUAUGCGGUUACUAUUGUCACUACUGAAGAGAAGUGUUCAUGAUCUGACAUUUUAAAGUAAGGAAAUCCACCCAAACAAUACUACGCGGUUCGAACAAAGUUGUAUGAAUUGUAAUAAACCAUAGUUAAUGUCUUUCUUUAAA